rnacentral:lncRNA from 1 species
CUGGAAACCGCGGCACUGCUUUGGGAGGAGGCUCAAUACGUCAGUCCCCCUUGAGCUCCUCCUCGCCCUUCUCCAACCGGCCUCCCCUGCCGCCUACCCCCAGCAGGGCCUUGGAUGACAAACCCCCUCCACCACCUCCUCCAGUGGGCAACAGGCCCUCCAUCCACAGGGAAGCGGUUCCCCCUCCUCCUCCUCAGAACAACAAGCCUCCAGUGCCUUCCACUCCGCGGCCUUCGGCCUCCUCACAGGCCCCACCUCCGCCGCCACCUCCCAGCAGGCCCGGGCCGCCUCCUCUGCCUCCAAGUUCCAGCGGCAAUGACGAAACCCCAAGACUCCCACAGCGGAAUCUGUCCCUCAGUUCGUCCACGCCCCCGUUACCUUCGCCAGGACGUUCAGGUCCUCUUCCUCCCCCGCCCAGUGAGAGACCCCCACCUCCAGUGAGGGACCCGCCAGGCCGAUCAGGCCCCCUCCCACCACCUCCUCCAGUAAGCAGAAACGGCAGCACAUCUCGGGCCCUGCCUGCUACCCCUCAGUUGCCAUCCAGGAGUGGAGUAGACAGUCCCAGGAGUGGACCCAGGCCUCCCCUUCCUCCUGAUAGGCCCAGUGCUGGGGCACCUCCCCCACCUCCACCAUCAACAUCUAUUAGAAAUGGCUUCCAAGACUCUCCAUGUGAAGAUGAGUGGGAAAGCAGAUUCUACUUCCAUCCGAUUUCCGAUUUGCCACCUCCAGAGCCAUAUGUACAAACGACCAAAAGUUAUCCCAGCAAACUGGCAAGAAACGAAAGCCGGAGUGGAUCCAACCGAAGAGAAAGGGGUGCUCCACCACUCCCUCCCAUCCCGAGGUGAUCUUUGCCUGCUCUUCUCUACCCAAGCUCAAGAGCUGCUUCUGUUGCUAUCUAAGAACUGCAUACCCUCCUCCCUGCUUCUUCCCUUGUGCCUCAUGUAUGGGCAGGAGGAAAGGUGGGAGGGGGAGUGGGAAUAUGCGUGUGUGGGUGGGAAUCGGUAAGAAAUGCACCUAGCUUUUCAUAUUGUGUUUAUUCUCCAGGCUAUUGCUUGCUUCAGCUGCAGCCUGCCUGUGCUGGCUGCUGGGGUCGAUAGGCUUUUGUCGUAAUAGGCAGAGAUGACUUGCAUCCCAGCUUUCCACCAACCAAAUUCAAACAUUCACUGCUUAUUUGUUACAGACUGUAAUUAUUAAAGUCCCUGAGAGCUGUU